GACGAACGCUGGCGGCGUGCUUAACACAUGCAAGUCGAACGGAAAGGCCCUGCUUUUGUGGGGUGCUCGAGUGGCGAACGGGUGAGUAACACGUGAGUAACCUGCCCUUGACUUUGGGAUAACUUCAGGAAACUGGGGCUAAUACCGGAUAGGAGCUCCUGCUGCAUGGUGGGGGUUGGAAAGUUUCGGCGGUUGGGGAUGGACUCGCGGCUUAUCAGCUUGUUGGUGGGGUAGUGGCUUACCAAGGAUUUGACGGGUAGCCGGCCUGAGAGGGUGACCGGCCACAGUGGGAUUGGGAAAGGGCCAGGAGUCCAACGGGGGGCAGCGGGGGGGAAUAUUGCAAAAUGGGCGGAAGGCGGAUGGAGGAACGCCGGGGGGGGGAAGACGGCUUUGGGGUUGUAAACCGUUUUCGCCUGUGAGGAAGCGUGAGGGAGGGAAAUGGGUAAAAAAGCACCGGCUAACUACGU
rnacentral:rRNA from 1 species